GAUGCUAGCUGCCGGUGCUGAGUUACUGAAGUGAGCUCACAAAGCCUGUUGCCUGGACAACUGAGCAAGCUAGAGGGGCUGAUCUAGGCAAUCUCACAAAGGCUUGGGCCUUGACAUCAUCCCAGCAAGCUAGAGAUGUUGAGCCAGUAACCUCAGAGAAGCCUGUUCCUUGACAUCCACUAGAAAGACGGAAGUACCUGAAUGCAGCUGGGCAGUUAUGAUAAGUCACAGCUGGCCCAGAUAAGAGGGCUGGGAGUAAGGAGCUGUGAGAGUCUCAUUCCAGCCCUGGAGUGAGAAGGACCUAGCUGCCUGAGAGAGACAGGGUACCUUCGACAGAGCAGUGCUGGGGAAGCGGCAGGCUGAGCUGGGGAGCUCAGGCUUGGCUACCUCCCAGGCUGAGGCCUGGCAGGAAGGCCUACGGAGGUACUGGGGCUGCAGGGAGACAGCUGGGGCUAGAAAGGCAGCAGGUCCAACUCCCUUGCUAAUGAUGAGAGUGGUCAUUACAGAUUGCAGUUUGCCCCAGAGAAAGGGGGCUAGAUGACGACUGGCAGUAGCCACUGAGACAAGGUGGGGAGGGGGGUUCCCCUGGCAGGGGAGACCCAGAGAGUGGGGGUGCUACUGUGAGGCAGCACCCCAAGAUAAGGGGGCCUGAAGUGCCUGAAGUACAGAGGUGGUGGAGAUGAGGAAGCAGGUACUGGUAGGGAGAAACAGGCCAGCAGGAGGUUCUCCAAGGCUGGACUGAGCUAAUUCCCAGACUGACCAGCAGGAGGCGCCGCGAUGAAGCUGGGCAAGGACAACAGGGGUGGCUCACUCUGACUGCCCUGUUCUGUACACUCCCCCUGAAGCUCUGGUAUGGGCCGUUGUUGGAGACAGGAAACUGUGGUAGAUGGACCAUUGGUCUGACUCAGUAUGGUAGUUCUUAUGUUCUAAGAUGUUUUGCCCCUCUCUUUUUGUUGUUAUAAUAUUGAUCUGAGGGAGAGUGAUGUGUAAUUCCAGGAAUAUAGUUCUUCAGCACUUUG